rnacentral:rRNA from 1 species
UACGUAGGGGGCAAGCGUUUGUCCGGAUUUAUUGGGCGUAAAGAGCUCGUAGGCGGCUGUUCAAGUCGAACGUGAAAACUCGGAGCUCAACUCCGAGCCUGCGUUCGAUACUGGACGGCUAGAGUCUGGUAGGGGGAUCUGGAAUUCCUGGUGUAGCGGUGGAAUGCGCAGAUAUCAGGAGGAACACCGAUGGCGAAGGCAGGUCUCUGGGCAUCUCCUGACGCUGAGGCGCGAAAGCGUGGGGAGCAAACGGG